rnacentral:rRNA from 1 species
CUGCGAAUGGCUCAUUAAAACAGAUUAUAGAUUUAUUUGGUAAUCGAAUUUACAUGGCAUAACCGUGGUAAUUCUAGAGCUAAUACAUGCUGUAAUGCCCGACUUUUUGGAAGGGCCGUAUUUAUUAGAUAUCAACCAAUAAGACUUGUUCUAUUGUGGUGAAUCAUAGUAACUGAUCGGAUCGCAGGCAAGCCCUGCGACAAACCAUUCAAGUUUCUGCCCCAUCAGCUUACGAUGGUAGUGUAUUGGACUACCAUGGCUUUUACGGGUAACGGAGGAUUAGGGUUCGAUUCCGGAGAGGGAGCCUGAGAAACGGCUACCACAUCUAAGGAAGGCAGCAGGCGCGUAAAUUACCCAAUCCUGACUCAGGGAGGUAGUGACAAGAAAUAGCGGGUCGGAGUUUAACUCCGGGACUGAAAUGAGACGAAUUUACACCCCUUAUCGAGGACCGAUU